ACCAACUGGCAUCAAAAGCAUAGCUGGUUAACAGGGAGCCUUUCAUCAAGCCGCCUGUAUUGCUGGCCUUGCCUGCUUUUUGGAAAGUCUGAGCCUUGGUCGAAAGGUGGGUACGGUGACCUGAAGAACAUAUAUCCUUCUGCUAAACGGCAAGACAAAAGCAGGGAGCAUAUAAAUGCCCACAUCAGAUUCAAGCUUCUGGGAAAAAGCUGCAUCGAUUAUGACGAAUGUCUGCGUAUUCAAACUGCGCAACACAACGAGAAAGUAAGAAGAAACAGGGAUGUUCUCAAGCGGUUUAUCAACACAACUGCGUUCUUGGGCAUGCACGGAUUUGCUUUUAGAGGACGAGAGGGAAGUUCCGCCAACAAGGGCAACUACAAGGAGCUUUCAGAGGAGGUGAUGACUAUAUCACCCCACUACCAUUGUCAACUUUCUCCUGACAUGAACUGAAGCCACGUCUCAUGUGCCCGCUCAUCCACUGGCACAUUGAAUGUUUCCCCUCCAAGCACUCCAAAUCCUGUCCUGCACUGGUCAAGCCUCUGAACACCUCAACUCAUACCUCAUACCCUCAUUCAAUCACUGCUGUGAUCCCUUUCCAAC